rnacentral:siRNA from 1 species
CAACCAUAUAUAGCCCUGGGAGU